CGGUUCGGACUUUGGCUGUGGUUGAUAGGGGAAGGGAAUGUGCCUGGUUUAUUAUUGAUGGUGAGGUUUUGAUGACUGUGAUAACUUUAGCGCCUUCUCGAAAGUGUAGUUAGUAAAUUGACGAGGAAAGUGAGUUAAUUCAAUCCGAAAUACUACGUUUUCCUCUCCUCACGCUGGCGAUAUUCAUUGACACAGUCUGUGGGUGUUGUGUUUGGUGGACAGCGGAUCAUAGUGUUUUGUAAAGAGAAAAAAAAUAGUAAAUUUGUGUUUUACAUUGUGUUUGGUAAAAGGGAGUACCCAUGUUAGCAGAACCAGAAGCAGCCAGAAGCAACUACAGUGGCUUCGGCAGUACUAGCGGCAGUAGGAGCAGCACCUAUGCCAUGACUAGUGGAACAUCUCAAUCCCACAUUGUGUAAACCUACAGACGUCUGCUACAUGACUUUUGACUCUUAAAAGUAGAUUACGGCUGACCAAAAGAAUCUUGACGAGGACGCGCGUGAACUCGUGAGCAAUACGACGAAUGAAAGUAUUCUACGAAAAUUAAAAGAAAGAGAGAGAAGAACAGAAAAGGAAUGAAAAAAAAAUACACGUGUAUAUAUAUAUCAGCCGUCACAGACACCCUGGCUGCGGAAUUAUCUAAACGUCUAAUAAAUCAGGUCGCUUAUUCGCUUAUUACACAUAUUAUGUACUAAUGAGAUCAACAUGUAACUGCUUUUUUUG